rnacentral:tRNA from 2 species
GGACGUUUGGCCGAGCGGUUAAGGCGCCGUCUUAAGGCGGCGGUUCGAAAGAGCGCAGGUUCGAGUCCUGCAGCGUUCA